rnacentral:tRNA from 1 species
AAGUCCGGUAGUGCAAGGCACGUCGAACUGCAAAUUCGAAGACGCCGUUCUUUCUUCUCGGCCCGGACU